AUAAACAAAGUGAUCGAAAGAGUAGCAAUUUAAUUUUGUUCAGAGAGAUGUUGGUCGGUGUGAAACAUUCUAAAUUAAUGGUGAAAAUGGUUCGUGAUUGGCAUUGAUGAGUGGCAAGACUAUAAAUCAAUGACGGAGUCGUCAACGUUAACUGACUAGGUGUAUUGAUAAGGCCUCAUUUCGCUGCGUUAAUACAUAGUAAGGUCGAGUUAGGUGACUGACUCGAUGAAAUUUAGAAUGGUAACACGGUCUAUUAGCCGCUUCUAUA
rnacentral:ncRNA from 1 species